GAUGAAGAACGCAGCGAAAUGCGAUACGUAAUGUGAAUUGCAGAAUUCAGUGAAUCACCGAAUCUUUGAACGCAUAUUGCGCUCUCUGGUAUUCCGGAGAGCAUGCUUGUUUGAGUAUCAGUAAACACCUCAACUCCCUUUCUUCUUGAAAUGGAGCUGGACUUGAGUGAUCCCAACGCUUUAUUCAUAAAGUGGCGGGUUACUUGAAAUGCAGGUGCAGCUGGACUUUUCUCUGAGCUAUAAGCAUAUCUAUUUAGUCUGCCUCAAAACAGAUUAUUACCUUUGCUGCAGCUAACAUAAAGGAGAUUAGUUCUUGUGCUGACUGAUGCAGGAUUCACAAAGACCGCUUCGGCUGUCUUUGUAAACUCGAUCUCAAAUCAAGUAAGACUACCCGCUGAACUUAAGCAUAUCAAUAAGCGGAGGA
rnacentral:misc_RNA from 1 species